AAUCGCACACCUUGGUGCGCGCAACAGACGGUGUAGGUACAGUGAUGGCGGGUCUGAACAGAGAAACUGGUUCAGAGACACCGGGAUGAUCGAUACAACCACAGGAGGAGCUGGAAACACACCUGGACAGAACAGCGCCCUCCUGUGGUGAGAGAGGAAAAGACUCUUGGAGAACCUGGUCCUGUAAAACUUGGCAGAUCUACGAACCAUUGCAGGGUGCCAUGAGGUGAUGGAGGCUGCAGUAGGUUCAGCAAAUUCUUGUGCAGCCAGAUCAAUUGGGGUGGGAUGCUGUGGCCCAGAGAAGUUGUGUCCUGGAUGUCUCUGAAGGACAGGAAGUCUGAGCUGUACCAUUCCCCUCUUGAUAUUGAUGAUGCCUUGAUGUCACAGUUCACCGAUUAAGAUAAGUUACUUUUUCCAAAUAUAUUAUUUACUUCUAUUUGGUCCUUUUUUGGUUUUCUGAUGCUAAUUGAUUUACUGAUACUAAUUGAUUAUUAUUGUUUGUCUUUGUUUGAGUCAGAUGUCCAAACUGAAGGAGGAUUGACUGUGGCUUGACCUGAGCUGAUGCCUUGCCAACCAAAGGAUGCAGAUGCCUGCUCAGCCCCCCGGUGCCAUCAGAGGCGACAAUGCUGCAGCACCUGGUCCCUCCUACCUCCAUGGGCUCUGAUUUAUAUUAUGUUAUUCUUAGUGUAUUCUGUUUUAUUAGAUAUUAUUUAUGAUGUACAUGAGAAAUAAAACUUUUAAAAAAUGGAAAAAUUCCAAUGAAAACUUUAAAAACCCAAAUAUUUAAAAACUUAAACACAAAAACUUAAAAAUGUAUUUGAAAAUUAAAAAGCAACAGCUCCACAAAAACAAAACAAAAUUUUAAAAACAAAAACCUAAAAAAGCCAAACACCUAAAACAAAAACAAAAAUGUCUGACAUAAAACAACAGCUUAAAAAAACAAACCUUGGAAAACCAAAUAGGAAGUUAGAAACCAAAACUCCAAAAACUCAAAGCCACACUUGACAUUGCAAACAUUUAAAAACAUAAAAACCCACAAAUGUAAAACCCAAAACUCAAAAACAAAUAUUUAAAAAAAACUAAUCCCAAAAACCCAUAAACAUAAAACCCCAAAUUUAAAGACCUAAUACUUAAAAAAAAAAAAAAUCAAAACAUUAAACAUAUUGUAAAAAAAUUAAAAACAUCAAAAAUCUAACCCUCUAAAGAAUUCAAUGAAAAACUAAAAUCUUAAACACAAAAUGC